rnacentral:tRNA from 1 species
UCCUCCUUAGCUCAGUGGUUAGAGCAGUCAGUCUGAAGGAAAGGCCCCGGUGGGCUGAUAUGUCGAAGGUUCGAAUCCUUCAGGAGGAACCA